AACACUUUAAGAAAAAUAUCCAAGACCUCUAAACGUGUUACUUUCCCUAGCCUAAAAUCUUAAACCAUUUCCUUGCAUGUAUCCUCGUCUUUUUCAUUUCAUGCAUGAUUAUUACGUAGUUAAAUGGGAUUUUCAGUUAUUUAAUCACUGCAAAAGAGUCAGGAUUUGUUUCUUCAGAUCGCGAUUCAUUUGUUAAAUGCAUUUGGGCCAGGGUCCUCUCAGUUGGGAUCUGUGAAGUGAAUUGAAGUGCAGCCACUAAAUUCAGCAUUUUAGAGCAAUAUCCACCAGGGACAGUAUGGAACAAGGAAAGUUGGAGGUGCCUCAAUUAGCACUACUUGGUGGAGGAAUCUUUGUUCAAACUCAAUACAUUCCUAGACUUAGAGAGAUCGCUCAUUUGGUCUCCCUUAAAGUUUUAUGGAGUCGUAGUGAGAAAUCUGCAAAGGUUGCUGCAGCACUUGCUCUAGAUUUUUCUCCGAAUAUAGAUAUCAAGUGGGGUGAAGCAGGCCUUAACGAAAUAAUUCAAGAUAAAUCAAUACAUGGGGUUGCAGUUGUUCUUGCAGGGCAAGCUCAGGUAGAAAUAUCAACAAUGAUGUUAAAAGCAGGAAAACAUGUCCUUCAAGAAAAACCUGCUGCUCUAUCGGUCACAGCAGCGGUAGCUGCUUUAUCAUUUUACACGUCUCUGUCUAUCAAUGGAGUCCAGCCACCAAUAUGGGCCAUUGCAGAAAAUUACCGAUUUGAACCUGCUCUUUUAGAGGCUGCAGCGUUGGUAAAGGAUUUGGGUGACCUAAUGACUAUUCAAUUUACUGCAGAAGCACCAAUGAACAAUUUGAACCCUUACUUUUCAAGUGAAUGGAGGCGAAAUUUCAUUGGGGGUUUUAUUCUUGAUGUUGGUGUGCACUUCAUUGCAGGCUUGAGAUUGGUCGCAGGUUGUGAGAUCAUUUCAGUCGCUGCUAUUUCUCGUCAUGUUGAUCCAUCCUUACCUCCACCAGAUAAUAUAUCAUCACUUUUUCAGUUGGAUAAUGGCUGUGCUGGAGUUUUUUCGAUUUCAUUGUCUUCGACAUCAAGAAAGAUUUGUUUGCGAGUCGUAGGAUCAAAAGGCACAGUUGAAGUUGGGCGUGGGACAAAAGAUGGGGGACAUGGUUACACGGUAGCAUAUUAUCCUGCAGGUGGCGUUCCCCAGCAUUCAUUCUAUCCAUUUUCUGGAGUAAAUAAUGAGCUGAAGGCUUUUGUGAAUGACAUGUUCAAGGCAGCAUCUAAGGAAGGGCCAAGUUCCCCAGAUUCUCGAAGUUCCUUGCUUGAAGGAGCUCGUGAUGUUGCCGUGAUUGAAGCUAUGCUCCAGUCAAGUGCUAAACAAGGGGCUCUUGUUCACGUGGAGCAACUAUCAUAAGUAAUGGUGGUUUGAUGAAAACAAAGAUCAAGGAUGAUGAACCGACUUGUGUUGAUGAUCCAAAGUAACCAAAAUAAGUAGUGGGCCCCAUUGGAAAGUUCAUUUAGCAAUUGGACUCCCUUCAGAGCCUAGGACAUCAAGGAGCGUUUUUUUAACACAUUGCUUGUAGGUUUUGGAUAGACUUUCAACUUUGCCAAUCUUGUUUUUGGUUAACAUGCUUUAAUAGUGCAAAUGGAUUAAUCCUAGGAUAGUCAUUCACAUUGUGCAAUCUUGGCUAAAAAGGACAUUCACAUCUUGCAAUAUUGGUUAAAAGAAACAAUCACAUUGUCAUUUUGCUACAAUCUUGGGUAAAACGAACAAUCACACAUUGCUAUCUUGGACUAAAAUGAACAAACAAACUUUUCUA